rnacentral:rRNA from 1 species
AUUGAACGCUGGCGGCAGGCCUAACACAUGCAAGUCGAGCGGAUGAAGGGAGCUUGCUCCUGGAUUCAGCGGCGGACGGGUGAGUAAUGCCUAGGAAUCUGCCUGGUAGUGGGGGAUAACGUCCGGAAACGGGCGCUAAUACCGCAUACGUCCUCAGGGAGAAAGUGGGGGAUCUUCGGACCUCACGCUAUCAGAUGAGCCUAGGUCGGAUUAGCUAGUUGGUGGGGUAAAGGCCUACCAAGGCGACGAUCCGUAACUGGUCUGAGAGGAUGAUCAGUCACACUGGAACUGAGACACGGUCCAGACUCCUACGGGAGGCAGCAGUGGGGAAUAUUGGACAAUGGGCGAAAGCCUGAUCCAGCCAUGCCGCGUGUGUGAAGAAGGUCUUCGGAUUGUAAAGCACUUUAAGUUGGGAGGAAGGGCAGUAAGUUAAUACCUUGCUGUUUUGACGUUACCAACAGAAUAAGCACCGGCUAACUUCGUG